GUAGGGAAUCUUGCGCAAUGGGCGAAAGCCUGACGCAGCCAUGCCGCGUGAAUGAUGAAGGUCUUAGGAUUGUAAAAUUCUUUCACCGGGGACGAUAAUGACGGUACCUGGAGAAGAAGCCCCGGCUAACUUCGUGCCAGCAGCCGUGGUAAUACGAAGGGGGCUAGCGUUGCUCGGAAUUACUGGGCGUAAAGGGAGCGUAGGCGGAUAGUUUAGUCAGAGGUGAAAGCCCAGGGCUCAACCUUGGAAUUGCCUUUGAUACUGGCUAUCUUGAGUAUGGAAGAGGUAUGUGGAACUCCGAGUGUAGAGGUGAAAUUCGUAGAUAUUCGGAAGAACACCAGUGGCGAAGGCGACAUACUGGUCCAUUACUGACGCUGAGGCUCGAAAGCGUGGGGAGCAAACAGGAUUAGAUACCCGUGUAGUCC
rnacentral:rRNA from 1 species